rnacentral:lncRNA from 1 species
GUGGCAUGACUUUAGUCGAUGGGACAACACAAAUGUUACAAAGCUUGAUGAAGCACUGAUAUAUUUCUUUCUCCUUUCUCAGACCCUGCUAAAUUUGGAGGGCACUUCAUUACACAGCAAUGGCUAACUGAUAUACCAGGUAUUUUUAUGUCCCUGGGAUUUUGGGAGACCUGUACAGGUUCGUAUAUGUAUCUCUGGUAGAUGAUGCAAUCUGGGACUUCCUGAAGCAAGAUUCUACUUUAUUGGAAGGGCUUUUCAGAUGAGAAUGAGAGAGCACCAUGAAUUUCCUUGCAUAAGGAGUGAAUUUCUUCCAUUAAAA